AGAGUUUGAUCCUGGCUCAGAUUGAACGCUGGCGGCAGGCCUAACACAUGCAAGUCGAGCGGAUGAGAAGAGCUUGCUCUUCGAUUCAGCGGCGGACGGGUGAGUAAUGCCUAGGAAUCUGCCUGGUAGUGGGGGACAACGUUUCGAAAGGAACGCUAAUACCGCAUACGUCCUACGGGAGAAAGCAGGGGACCUUCGGGCCUUGCGCUAUCAGAUGAGCCUAGGUCGGAUUAGCUAGUUGGUGAGGUAAUGGCUCACCAAGGCGACGAUCCGUAACUGGUCUGAGAGGAUGAUCAGUCACACUGGAACUGAGACACGGUCCAGACUCCUACGGGAGGCAGCAGUGGGGAAUAUUGGACAAUGGGCGAAAGCCUGAUCCAGCCAUGCCGCGUGUGUGAAGAAGGUCUUCGGAUUGUAAAGCACUUUAAGUUGGGAGGAAGGGCAUUAACCUAAUACGUUAGUGUUUUGACGUUACCGACAGAAUAAGCACCGGCUAACUCUGUGCCAGCAGCCGCGGUAAUACAGAGGGUGCAAGCGUUAAUCGGAAUUACUGGGCGUAAAGCGCGCGUAGGUGGUUUGUUAAGUUGGAUGUGAAAGCCCCGGGCUCAACCUGGGAACUGCAUCCAAAACUGGCAAGCUAGAGUACGGUAGAGGGUGGUGGAAUUUCCUGUGUAGCGGUGAAAUGCGUAGA
rnacentral:rRNA from 1 species